UAUUGACGUGGACGUUACGGAAUGAAGCCGUGUGACAUUCUGCCUUGUCUUAGCUAUGUAACGACACCAUGUUGUUUAUUAAUUUUUUCUAAGUGAAUCAUCAUGUCAGAUUAUAUCUCAUGGUUCAUUCUAGAGAAGCGACAGAGUGUGUUUUUACAUGUAUGUGAAGGUUUGUUGUAAAUGUCAAUGUUAUAAAAAAUAAUAAUGAUAAAAAUGUGUGUGAAAUGUGACCCUGAGCCCAGGAGGGAACAGUAACAUUACACUGCCUCUUAUACAUGCCAUUCUCUUUACAUUUACAUACACUGUAUAUCUGUGUAGCUGGGUAAGGGGUGAGUCCAGAAUAGGGAUUAGUCAUGAUUAGUCGUGGCUGUGAUUUGGCAAUGACACUGGCAUGAGAGGGUUCAACUUUAACACAGUUGUAAGAUUAUAAAAGGUUCCUGCUGAAAAACAAAACCCAAAACAGUAGAAACCCUCAUAGAAUUUGUAAUGGGAAUUGUAUUGGUUUUAAUGGAAACUGUAAUGGUCCUUACUGGUCAUUUCUGUCCUUGUAUUGGUGACAUGUUAUGUCUAGUACCUUUGAGGUACAAUUUGACAGUUUUAAUGGUUGACAGCUGAUGGUUUGUAAUGGUAUUUGUAUUGGAAUCCAUUAGAAUUUCUGGGAAGGUUUCUAUUGUUUUGUUUUUUGUUUGUUUGUUUGUUGUUGUUUGUUGUAUGUGUUGUAAAUAAGCACAUGCUAUUCUAGUCGCGUCCCAGUUCUUUUAAUGCUGAUGAGACAGCUUGGCAUGGCAUGUGCGUGUGUGUGUGUGUGUUUUGAAUAUCAAACUGUUCUACUAGUGUUUGUGAAGUGACACAAAUCCUGUUAGAUGUUUAUACCCGGUUGUGUAAGGGAAACAGAAAUGUUUUAGAUACGCCCUUGUCUGUCCGUUCUGUCUUUCACAUUUCAGUACUUCAGUUGUCUGAGUAGCACUGGAAAUGUUUCCCAACUAGACACUAGAGCAGCUGCUGGAGUUGUGAAAACAUUUGACAUCAGAUGUUUAUAAUGUUUCUCAGCUAAUGAAAAUCAGAGAGCUUCGACACCCCCCCACCCUCCGUAGUGUGGAAGGCAUUACACUAAAGCUCAAGAGUGUUAGUCUGAAUUUCAGUGGAAAGAGUGCGAAUUCGCUUUACAUCCCAGUUUGACACAGUUAUAUGGUAGGUUAAAAGACUGGAAAAUCAGCAUAAAAAUGUUCAAACAUUAACUCUGACCCUGUUCAAGUUAGUCUCUGACCUUUUGUUUUCCUUUUGUGGAAGUUUUUUUUACCCCCACCUCCGUAAAGAAGAUUCCUAAAAAGUAAGCGUUCUUUAAUGUGACUGUGCGCGACUAUCCCAGACACGGAGGACAGGCACGAGAAAGUCAGUACAGCUUAUGGACUUUUUGAAAGGACAUAAUGUGGUGUAUCGUGUGGCCUUUCUAACGGUUCGGUGUCAGCAGCGCAUGUAAAAAUAGCCCAGGAUGCAUGGCUGAUGGGAAAGUAAAGCAAACGUCAGCUGAGACCUUCGAGUUCCAUCAGUUACAGCUGGGACAACAUGACUGUUUGUCUUGGCUUGCCGUGGACUUAACCCUUAAAGGAAUGUUCAUUUUUUAAAAAAGCAACAGGGCGUCUUUUUAUUAAGAGGAGCAAGAGGGUUAGACACAAAGCUGUGACACUAUUGCUUUGCUGAAUCUCAUGAUUUUGUCCUAUACAGUUGAGGUCAUAAUUUUACCUACGCCUUGCAGAAUCUGCAAAAUGUUAAUAAUUUUUUUUUUAAAUAAGAGGGAUCAUAAAAAUUGCCAUUUGCUAUUUUGUUAUUUUUAUUUAGUCCUGCCUUGAAUAAGCUAUUUCACAUAACAGAUGUUUACAUAUAGUCCACAAGACACAGUAAUAACUGAAUUUACACAAAUGGACAAAUUCAAAAGUUUGCAUACGCUUGAUUCUUAAUACUGUGUGUUGUUACCUGGAUGAUCAGCAACUGUUUUUUUGUUUUGUGAUAAUUGUUCAUGAGUCCCUUGUUUGUUCUGAGCAGUUAAAUUGCCCACUGUUCAGAAAAAUCCUCCAGGUCCUGCACAUUAUUAGCUUCUCCUGCAUAUUUGACCCCUUUCCAAUAGCCCCUAUAUGAUGUUGAGAUCCAUCUUUUCACACUGAGGACGACUGACGGACUCGUACACAACUAUUACAAAAGUACCACCCUUCAGAACCUACAUAAGAUAUUUAUGUGUUUCCCAGAAGACAAAAUUAUAUGCUUCUAUAGGAAAAUAAUCAACAACAGGGUGGUGUGAUGUCACCCGAUGCAGACCGGAGUAACUGAAACCAACCCAAAGUUGAUUAUUUCCCAAUAACAGUAAUGCCAAUUUUGUAUUUCUUAAAGAACAAUACAUUGCACUUUUAUCCAUUCAUAGUUAUGUUUAAUGUUGAGAAACAUCAGAUUAAAAACCUGCUUCCUGUUAUCAUGUAUGUUAUAACAGCUAUAAUCGAGUUGUUCCCUCACCAGCCGCUUUUUUUUUCUGUCUUUUGAAGUUAAUAAAAUGAAAAACGUUGUCAUGUUA